CCAGAAAGCUUCAGUGACUUCCCUGAAAAGAUCCCUAACAGGAUGAUUCUAACAGUGAAUUGUCUCCUUUCUCCAGUGUCUUAGUUUGGAGUUGCUUGAAAGCAGGAAAGAAAUCCCAGGAAAGGAAAGAAGAACAAAGAAAGUAUGACAGACCCAAGAAGAGACAAUAAAGCAGGUAGCAGAAGAAGAAGUCGGAGAGACUUAGUAUGAGGGGCAUUCGUGAUUCUCUGUUGCUGACAUGGAGAGGCCCUGUGGCAAGGAGCUGAGAGUGGCCCCUCGGAGAAGCAGAAGAUGGACUAAGACAAUGAAUGACAAGGUUGGAAGUACAUUUGAUGAUUGGAUAUUGAUGAAACUCCAUGAAGAAUGCUUCAGCAGAGGUACAAAGUCACGGGGUCGAUGGGAAGCACCGACCAAGCUGCCACCUUUCCUUUUUACUCUCUCUCUCUCUGCCUCCCCUGCACAUUCCCCACAUGGGCUGCUCAACCUGAUUCUGUCUUCAGCUUCAGCGUAUUCCCCACACCAUCUGAUUCCCUCCCAAAGGAGACUUGGACACUAAGCAAGAGCCCUGAUGCUCUUUUAUUCCCACCCC